GAUGGACUCCCUGGGCACCCACAGGACUUGGAUUAAUUACCCAUCGUAUUGUACUUGCUAGUUCGUUUUCCAUUUGAACCCCUCCCCGACAGGUCUCAGAAUCUUCAUCCUUCCCAGCUGGGUAGGAGGUGGUACACCUAAGCAUUGCAGAGCCUAUGAGUCUAUGUGAAUGAGGGCACUGGAUGCAGCAGGAAAAGAUUAGGAAGAAGGAAGGCUGAGCCAACUCCAUGCCAACUCCAAAGCCCCAGGAGCCCAGCUUUGAAAAACACCUGCAUUAAAAGAGAGAGGAGCCCAGCUGUGUCCUCGGCAGGUGUUCAGUCAGCCUCGUGAUAGAGCCUGUUUCUUCUCAAUUCCAUCCUUGACACCUGAGAUCAACAACAGAGCCGGAGCCCCCCAGCCACUGCCCCAGGGUUCCUCUGCCAGGACUGCAAGACCAGGCUGCUCAAGUUGACUGGAAGAAGAAUGACCCUUCCUUCUGAGCAGGAGUCUCCAGGCCACCCGUCCUCACCUUGGUAUGGCCGAAUCGGAACUGCUCUCGGUCCACAUCGAUGGAGUUCAGGAGCUUCUCCGAGGCGUUCUUGCUGUCGAUGAACUGCCCUUCCGGGAUGGCACUGGCGUUAAGGAUCCGGUACCUGAGGAGAAGAGACACUGGUUCCGACCU